rnacentral:rRNA from 1 species
CUCCGCCGGCGACCGGCGCACGGGUGAGUAACACGUAUGCAACCUGCCCCUGUCAGGGGGACAACCCGCCGAAAGGCGGGCUAAGCCCGCGUACAUGCCACCGGGGCAUCCCGGAGGCAGGAAAGGCUUCGGCCGGACAGGGAUGGGCAUGCGGCGCAUUAGGCAGUAGGCGGGGUAACGGCCCACCUAACCGACGAUGCGUAGGGGUUCUGAGAGGAAGGUCCCCCACACUGGUACUGAGACACGGACCAGACUCCUACGGGAGGCAGCAG